UACGUAGGGUGCGAGCGUUAAUCGGAAUUACUGGGCGUAAAGGGUGCGCAGGUGGUUACGUAAGUCUGAUGUGAAAGCCCCGGGCUCAACCUGGGAACUGCAUUGGAGACUGCGUGGCUAGAGUGUGGCAGAGGGGGGUGGAAUUCCGCGUGUAGCAGUGAAAUGCGUAGAGAUGCGGAGGAACACCAAUGGCGAAGGCAGCCCCCUGGGUUAACACUGACACUCAUGCACGAAAGCGUGGGGAGCAAAC
rnacentral:rRNA from 2 species